rnacentral:lncRNA from 1 species
UUUUUUUUUUUUUUGUGGUUUUAUGUUUUACUCAUUUUAUUUUGAAUUGGUUUCUAUUUAGAAAAUUAUUCUUGCUUAUUGAUGGACUAAGAAGUCUUAGAUGCGCAGCAGGGAGGGGGAAGCAAUUUUGUAGCAGGAAAGGAAUUAGAGAAGAAAACUUUGAUUUAAUGCUCACUGAACAUACGCCUUGGAAAUUAGGGGUUUUCUUGUUCUUUUAAUGCAUGUUAGAUGUUGAAAUCCUGUUUCUGAUACACCACAUGCUGUCAGUCCAUAACGUUGUCUUGUGUGGUGUAUGUGUUCAUGUGGUGCAGAUGAGCUCUGUGUGCUGCAGAGAUCCUUUAAGCUUAACAGAGUUUAAAUUCUUGGUUCGGUGUCUUGGAUGUGCCCAGCUCUGUAUCCUGGAGCUCAGCUGAAGCUUUUCAUAGAGUCAUAGAAUCAGCUAGGUUGGAAAAGACCUUUAAGAUCAAGUCCAACCGUUAAAGUUGGGCCUUAAACCAUGGAGUCCUCCAUUUUAGAGGAGCAGCUGGGAUUAGAAACAGGUUUAUUGGGUAGGAAAGAUUUUUGUGAUUGAGACUUGAGUUUUUAACCAGUUGCAUUCAAAAUGAUCCUGUGUGGAGCUCACCAGAAGGAAGGAAGAAGUUCAAGUGUGGAUGCAGUGGGCAUGGGUGGAUAUUACUGUUGGUUUAGUGGGAAACCCAAGUCAUGCUGAAGUGAGGGACAUUAAAAAAAGUUUAGCUUUAAAUGUUUUGAGCUACCAUAAAUCCGUGUGAUAGCCCAGAGAGCAUAUUGUGGUGUAAGCUUUGCUCUUAAUAUAUAUGCCUAUCUUUGAAAUGAAAUGGAGGAAUGUUGGUCGUUUCUCCCACUGCUCCCUGCGGAUGCGCCCUUUGUGCUGCUGCUGUCUUGCCCGUGUGCCCUUUGCCUUCCUGGGAUGUGAGAACAUGUGUGGUUCUGGGUACAGAACAGACAACAAAACACAGGCUGAUUUCAGCCUGUGCAUGUUAAUAGCUAUUGUGGGAGAGAAUUCAUCACUAUUUUGCUGUGUCUGUCUAAGUGCAUAGACGGAUAUUUGAGUGACUUGAUGACUAUUUCCUAAUUACUUUUUCCUACCAGAAAUGCUGUAGCAUAGAUUUUGUCAACCUUUUUGGACAGGAAGCAAAGGGAUGGCUUCCCAAGCCACCCACAGCCGCGUCCCUCAGCAUUAGCAAAUGCUGCUGGGGCUCCCAGCUGAUAGAGCUGGGGGCUGUGUGUG